GAGUGAGUUUCUUUUGCCAGUCUGUCGUCUCGUCAUAGCGGGGCGGAUGAAGGCCGGGAUGCUCCGCCGUGACAACAUUGGCAGGCCGGCUCUCGACUGUUUGGAAAUCAGAAAGAUGCGAGCGACCAGACGAGACAUGCUUGCGGCGUCGGGUGCAACAGGUGCAUGUCUUUGGAGGUGGGAGGAAGCCGGAGUACCCGGAGGGAACCCACGCAGUCACGGGGAGAACACGCAAACUCCACACAGAAAGAUCCCGAUUGAACCCAGGACUACUCAG